GUGGUGGGGGUAAUGGCCCACCAAGGCGACGACGGGUAGCCGGCCUGAGAGGGGGGACCGGCCACCACUGGGACUGRGACACGGGCCCAGACUCCUACGGGAGGCAGCAGUGGGGGAAUAUUGCACAAUGGGCGAAAGCCUGAUGCAGCGACGCCGCGUGAGGGAUGACGGCCUUUCGGGUUGUAAACCUCUUUCAGCAGGGAAGAAGCGAAAGUGACGGUACCUGCAGAAGAAGCACCGGCUAACUACGUGCCAGCAGCCGCGGUAAUACGUAGGGUGCGAGCGUUGUCCGGAAUUAUUGGGCGUAAAGAGCUCGUAGGCGGUUUGUCGCGUCGAUUGUGAAAGCCCGGGGCUUAACCCUGGGUCUGCAGUCGAUACGGGCAGGCUAGAGUUCGGCAGGGGAGACUGGAAUUCCUGGUGUAGCGGUGAAAUGCGCAGAUAUCAGGAGGAACACCGGUGGCGAAGGCGGGUCUCUGGGCCGAUACUGACGCUGAGGAGCGAAAGCGUGGGGAGCGAACAGGAUUAGAUACCCUGGUAGUCCACGCCGUAAACGGUGGGCACUAGGUGUGGGCAACAUCCACG
rnacentral:rRNA from 1 species